AUUGAACGCUGGCGGCAGGCCUAACACAUGCAAGUCGAGCGAGCGGCGGACGGGUGAGUAAUGUAUGGGGACUGCCCGCUAGAGGGGGAUAACUACUUGGAAAGGUGGCUCAUACCGCAUACUGUCGGAUGACCCAUAUAGGAUUAGUGAGUGUGUAAGGUAAUGGCGUACCUAGGCGCCGAUCCCUCGCUGGUCUGAGAGGCUGAUCAGCCACACUGUGAUUGAGACACGGCCCAGCCUCCUACGGAGGCAGCAGUGGGGAAUAUUGCACAAUGGGCGCAAGCCUGAUGCAGCCAUGCCGCGUGUAUGAAGAAGGCCCUAGGGUUGUAAAGUACUUUCAGUCGGGAGGCGUUACCGACAGAAGAAGCACCGGCUAACUCCGUGCCAGCAGCCGCGGUAAUAC
rnacentral:rRNA from 1 species